UGGGGAAUUUUGGACAAUGGGCGCAAGCCUGAUCCAGCCAUGCCGCGUGAAGGAAUAAGGCCCUAUGGGUUGUAAACUUCUUUUAGACGGGACACAACCCCUUUACGUGUAAAGGGUUGAUGGUACUGUCAGAAUAAGCAUCGGCUAACUUCGUGCCAGCAGCCGCGGUAAUACGAAGGAUGCAAGCGUUAUCCGGAAUUAUUGGGUUUAAAGGGUGCGUAGGCGGACUAAUAAGUCAGUGGUGAAAGCCUGCAGCUUAACUGCAGAAUUGCCAUCGAUACUGUUAGUCUUGAGUACAGUUGACGUAGGCGGAAUGUGUCAUGUAGCGGUGAAAUGCUUAGAUAUGACACAGAACACCGAUUGCGAAGGCAGCUUGCUAAGCUGUAACUGACGCUGAGGCACGAAAGCGUGGGGAGCAAACA
rnacentral:rRNA from 1 species